CCAGAGGGCCGGGCGGCCGCGGCGGGGACUUGUCCCCGGCGAGGAAAGUCCGGGCUCCACGGAAAGACGGUGCCGGGUAACUCCCGGCCGGAGAGUUCGCUCUUCGAGGGACAGUGCCACAGAAAGCAUACCGCCGCUCUUCGGGACGGUAAGGUCGAAAGGGUGCGGCAAGAGCGCACCGCGCCUCCGGCAACGGCGGCGGCACGGUAAACCCCACCGGGUGCAAGACCGAAUAGGGGCGGCAGAUGAGCUUUUCCGGCUCGCCGCCCGGGUUGGUCGCUUGACCCCAGGCGCAAGCCUGGGGCUAGAGGAAUGGUCGCCUAUCCGCCGUCGCCUCUGGCUUUGGCGGAGGACAGAACCCGGCUUACAGGCCCUCUGGCGUU
rnacentral:RNase_P_RNA from 1 species